UACACUCCUACGGGAGGCAGCAGUGGGGAAUUUUGGACAAUGGGCGCAAGCCUGAUCCAGCCAUGCCGCGUGCGGGAAGAAGGCCUUCGGGUUGUAAACCGCUUUUGUCAGGGAAGAAAAGGUUCUGGCUAAUACCUGGGACUCAUGACGGUACCUGAAGAAUAAGCACCGGCUAACUACGUGCCAGCAGCCGCGGUAAUACGUAGGGUGCAAGCGUUAAUCGGAAUUACUGGGCGUAAAGCGUGCGCAGGCGGUUAUGCAAGACAGAGGUGAAAUCCCCGGGAUCAACCUGGGAACUGCCUUUGUGACUGCAUGGCUAGAGUACGGUAGAGGGGGAUGGAAUUCCGCGUGUAGCAGUGAAAUGCGUAGAUAUGCGGAGGAACACCGAUGGCGAAGGCAAUCCCCUGGACCUGUACUGACGCUCAUGCACGAAAGCGUGGGGAGCAAACAGGAUUAGAUACCCUAGUAGUCCCAUG
rnacentral:rRNA from 1 species